GUCCAGCAGCGCGGUAAUACCGGCAGCCCGAGUGAUGGCCGAUCUUAUUGGGCCUAAAGCGUCCGUAGCUGGCCGCGCAAGUCCAUCGGGAAAUCCACCCGCCCAACGGGUGGCCGUCCGGUGGAAACUGCACGGCUUGGGACCGGAAGGCGCGACGGGUACGUCCAGGGUAGGAGUGAAAUCCCGUAAUCCUGGACGGACCGCCGAUGGCGAAAGCACGUCGCGAGAACGGAUCCGACAGUGAGGGACGAAAGCUAGGGUCUCGAACCGGAUUAGAUACCCCUGUAGUCC
rnacentral:rRNA from 1 species